GACGGAGGAUGCAAGCGUUAUCCGGAAUUAUUGGGCGUAAAGCGUCCGCAGGUGGCUAGUCAAGUCUGCUGUCAAAGCGCGGAGCUUAACUUCGUAAAGGCAGUGGAAACUGAUUAGCUAGAGCAUGGUAGGGGUAGAGGGAAUUCCCGGUGUAGCGGUGAAAUGCGUAGAGAUCGGGAAGAACACCGGUGGCGAAGGCGGCCUGCUGGGCAGUUGCUGACACUGAGGCGCGACAGCGUGGGGAGCAAACAGG
rnacentral:rRNA from 1 species